rnacentral:rRNA from 1 species
UACAGAGGUGGCAAGCGUUGUUCGGAAUUACUGGGCGUAAAGGGCUCGUAGGCGGUCAACUAAGUCAGACGUGAAAUCCCUCGGCUUAACCGGGGAACUGCGUCUGAUACUGGAUGGCUUGAGUUCGGGAGAGGGAUGCGGAAUUCCAGGUGUAGCGGUGAAAUGCGUAGAUAUCUGGAGGAACACCGGUGGCGAAGGCGGCAUCCUGGACCGACACUGACGCUGAGGAGCGAAAGCCAGGGGAGCAAACGGG